rnacentral:tRNA from 1 species
AUGGGUGAAUGGUAAAUCGCUCGGUUUCCGAACCAAGAGUUCCGGGUUCGAAUCCUGGU